CCUACGGGUGGCAGCAGUGGGGAAUAUUGGUCAAUGGGCGAAAGCCUGACCCAGCAAUGCCGCGUGAAUGAAGAAGGUCUUAGGAUUGUAAAAUUCUGUCCUAUGGGAAGAAAAAAAUCACGGUACCAUAGGAGGAAGCCCCGCCUAACUACGUACCAGCAGCCGGGGUAAUACGGAGGGGGCGAGCGUUGUCCGGAAUUACUGGGCGUAAAGAGAGCGUAGGCGGCACUACAAGUGUCAGGUGAAAUACCCGGGCUUAACUUGGGGAGUGCAUGGGAAACUGUAGAGCUUGAGUACAGGAGAGGCAAGCGGAAUGCGUGGUGUAGCGGUGAAAUGCAUAGAUAUUAGGCAGAACACCAGUGGCGAAGGCGGCUUGCUGGACUGAAACUGACGCUGAGGCUCGAAAGCGUGGGGAGCAAACAGGAUUAGAUACCCCUGUAGUC
rnacentral:rRNA from 1 species